GACGAACGCUGGCGGCGUGCCUAAUACAUGCAAGUAGAACGCUGAAGGAGGAGCUUGCUUCUCUGGAUGAGUUGCGAACGGGUGAGUAACGCGUAGGUAACCUGCCUGGUAGCGGGGGAUAACUAUUGGAAACGAUAGCUAAUACCGCAUAAGAGUAGAUGUUGCAUGACAUUUGCUUAAAAGGUGCAAUUGCAUCACUACCAGAAGGACCUGAGUUGUAUUAGCUAGUGGUGGAGGUAGCGGCUCACCAAGGCGACGAUGCAUAGCCGACCAGCGAGGGGGCUCGGCAUAGCUGGGACGGAGACACGGCCCAGAACACUGCGGGAGGCAGCCGUCGGGGACCUUUGGCAAUGGAAGGAAGGCUGACCGAGCAACGCCGCGUGAGUGACGGAGGUAUUCGGGUCGUAUAGCUCUGUUGUAAGAGAAGAACGAAUGUGAGAGUGGAAAGUUCACACUGUGACGGUAUCUUACCAGAAAGGGACGGCUAACUACGUG
rnacentral:rRNA from 1 species